rfam:Gossypium hirsutum cultivar TM-1 unplaced genomic scaffold scaffold2403.1, whole genome shotgun sequence
AGCCCAUGGUGAUGGCACCUUCUUAAUAGAUCUUUGUAUCUUUCCCAUGCAUCGUAGAGUGUUUCUAAAUCCAUCUGCACGAAAGAAGAGAUAUCAUUCCUCAACUU